GUGCAACUUACAAUCUUUGUAAUAAAAUCACUGGCAUUAUGCAGAAAGUUAAAUUUCCAAAGGUAAUUUUCGUCUUGCAUUUAUAGUUUAUUGGGGGUAGAGAUAAACUUUAUUAGAUGAUCAGUCUAUAGUUGCAGGGUUAAAAAGUUGCACAAUCUUAGCAACAUUAGAAUGAUUGUGGUCCUUUUUUGCAAAAUGCAAUCCAUUUUCUCAGUGUGGUCAAAGCUAACUUUCUAUAUCUUUCUGUCUUUCAGGUAGACGCCUCGCUCACAAUGCCGCCCUUUACAAAGCUCAUAACUCGAAUGACGCAACGGAUAAAUUACAUGUUUGUAAAGUUUGCGGAGUGAGGUACAAAUUCCGGACCGGUCUCUUGGAUCACAUGAAAGCUCACACCGGGGAAACCAGAUAUGACGGAUGCGGAGUUGCAGAAAUUCGUGUCCGAGACCUACAUCCAGGAGAGACCUUUCGUUUGCAACGUUUGCGGGAAACGUUACCGGAAAAUGAACAGCUUGCGCGAUCACAGGAAAGCCCACACUGGCGAGACGACCUGCCACACGUGCAACAAAACUUUCUCGUCCAUGCAAAAUUACAACGUCCACAAUAGAAUCUAUCAUCGACGGAACUGAAGUACUGAAAUUGGACGUAUUUCUGCCAAAUGGAACUGCGUGCGUUAUGACGUGAGCCCUCUUAUGCAUUUAUCCUAAUGGAUCCCAGGGCUCAUGUUUCAAUGCACAUGGUUCCGUUCGGCAGGAAUACGUCCAAUUGGAUCGCAUUUAGCAAAAAGGAACCAGCGGAAUUGCAGUGUUUUCAAAAUCGUGCAACUUCUCCAUUUCUUUUAGAAAAUACUUAAGAUUUGUACGGUAUUAAAAUUUACAGUUAUUCUCCUUUAAAAUUGACAAUUUUCUGGUGCAAAACCAAAAUUGUGUGCUAUUUUAGGAUACUUUUUAGAUAUUUAUGAAGGAGCAACAUCUAUACACCACUGGUUCCUUUUUGCUAAAUGCGAUCCAAUUGAGCGGUAACAAUCAAUUUUUUACCAGAUUAUGACGUGGUUUUCCUAUUGUACAAUUUCAUUAGAAAACCUGAUAAUUCAUCGAAAAGUUGGAAAUUGUGAAAAUAACAGUGUCGCCAACUUUCAAGAAUCGCCACUACCGAUCUUUCUGCAGUUUCGCCUAUGUUUUAACUCCAUAUUUGUAGUUGGCAAUUACAUGUAGUUGUUUCCAUACUUAUUCAUGUUUGAAUAAAUUACGAUAUGAGUCUGUAUUCUUCUAAAUUUUUAAUGAGUUAUGACCAGAGCUUAUUCCAAUUUUUCAUUCUUGUCUUGAUCUUAUCUUCAUUUAAAUGACUUGCAACUAUGUGAUACAAUACAAUAAAACACUGUGUGAAAUAACACUAUUUAAUAUAAAUCAAAAAUAAGUUCUCCUAGUCAUGAUUUACUUUUUCUUAUUUCAUUAAUAAAUAUUUGAUUCAUGAUA